GUAAUAAGUUUUAAAAAUGCUUCCACCUCUCCAUUCUCUCCCUUAAAUGUCUGUAUCGUCCCUCAACCUUCCCUUCCCUGCCCUCUUCCUUAAAACGAUGGACCUUUCCCCAGUGCCCCUCCCCAUCCUUCUCUUUUCUCCCGUUCUUCUCAGACAAACGCUAUCGAUCUCUCCCAAAAAUAAGCAUGCACACUUCGUUUAUUUCACCAUCUUCAUUUCACUUUAAAGAAUGCUUUACGAUGGCAGAAGAUCCAGCCCUGAACCAGUGAUUAACCCAUCUCCUUAUCCUCCUUCCCUGUUCCAAUUCCCAAUUCUACAUGUUCUUUGUGAUAGAAUCCUCAAAAUCUUUGUUUGCAGGAAGGCUACGCAACGAUGGUGAUGUUUAAGGUGUCCCUUGUUGAAACUUCCAUCAAUGGCCAAAAGACAGGAACCUCUUAUUAAAGGAAGAAGAAGAAGAUAGCUACUGCCAUCUCUCUUUUUGGCACUCACUAAGGUUUUUUCAUUUUUUCCCCUUUUAUUAGGUACACGAAUAUAAUGUCUAAUUAUAGAGAUAAAGGUAGAAUAAAAGGAAGGAAAAGUUUGACAAAUAUAUAACUAGAUGUCUUUCGACUUAACAUAUUUAUCUCAUAGUUGAAUGAGCACUUCUUAUGAAAUUACCAGCAAGCUCACGCAUUAUCUUAAGAAUCUAAUUCAUACAAAUCAUGUAAUUUUGCUUUAUUUAUUCGAUUGACUAAUAUCAUACGUUGCUAUCUUUGCUAUAUAAUAAAAGCACCUUCGUGCAUUGCACGUUCUCUAGUAAUAGGAUUACCUAUUUUAUUUGAUUGGAGACAAAUUUGUGGGUUACCAAUUUUAUUUGAUUGGAGAAAAAUUGGUCAACUUUUUUGGGUAAGUAGGUGAGUGAUUGGGAAAAGCAUAAGGUCAUGACUCAUAGGAUGGAUUUGGGAUAAUUUUUUAAGCGUGGUGAUUUGAUUACCUGAACCCUCAUCAAUUUUAUCUCUUGAUUUACACCUCUAAUUAGGAAAGUUUAUAGAUUGAUUAAUAUUCUUUCUCCAAAAUUUUAGGUAACCAUUAUCAAUCAUUAUUUUUACUAUUUUGAAAAAAAGAAGAGAAAAAAGUGAGAAGAAAAGAGAAAGAUAAAAGAGAUACUAGUUACAGCCUUCCUACAACUUGUUUCCAUUGGAAAAGAAGUGGAAGAGUAAAAGGCCUCAUAACCUAGGUUGCAUCCAACAUCGGUUUACCCUCCUAGGAAGAGCUUGAAGACCCUUAUCUGAGGGGUGAAUCUAGCUACUUUGUCAAACAGUGAGUAGAACCAUCAUACUCACUCUACAUGUUUUGUUUUAUCUCAAAGAAAUGCUUAAGACUUUGCAGCCUUGUAGUUGACAUAUCGUAUGUAAUUUUUCUACUCUUUAUCCCUUUUGUAUUUUAAUGAGAAUAUGUUUUUGGUGUAUGCAUGUAUGUUAAUCUUUUCUUUCAAUACCUUGUGGAUAUAUAUAUAUAUAUAUAUUGCAUGCUAUAUUAUAUAUUAAGUUUUAGCGGUUGAUUGGUAUUCACCCUUGAUCUAUACUAUGUUAUUUUGAAUUUGAUUCUAAGGGGUUGUUGAGUGUUAUUCUUGAUGGAUUCUAUGUUAUAUAAAUAUUCCAUGUCAGGUAUUUUUUUAGUGAAAAUUUUAGGGGCUGUUAUUACUACUAAUCAAUCAUUUUCAUUCCAUUCUAAUUGAUCCAUGUUAGGUACUUUUUUAAUGAUGAUUUUAGGGGCUGUUUGUACAACUAAUUAAUUAUUAUCAUUCCAUUUAAAAUGAUAAAUGAUAGGACUGUUUUAGUGAUGAUUUUAGGGGUUGUUAGCACUAUGAAUUAAUCAAAUCUAUUUCUUUCUAAAUAUUUGUUAGCAUUUCUUUUUGAAUCAAACAUAUAUCAUAUUGGUUUUGAUGAUUAAGGACUGUAUAAUGUUCCAUUUAGUAAAUUGUGCCCUAUUCUAAUUUAUGAUUUGUAGGGACUGUUUUGGUACUUUCUCUUAAUUAAAUCGAUUCUAUUUUGGUUCUAUGAUGAUAAGGGCUGAUUUGUUGUUCCUUGCCAAUUAAAUAGAAAUUACCUGAAUUUGAUGGUUUUUAGGGUUAAACUUGGUUUCUCUAUUUGAUUAAAUCUAUGCUAUCACAAACUAGUAAUUUAGAGGCUGAUUUAGCAUUUCUUAUUGUUUUGAUUUAUUCCAUUAUGCUUAUAUGAAUUAGGGGUUACUUACAUAAUAAUGUGCAUUAUUGGAUGCAUAAGGGUUGAUUUCGUAAUUUUUUAUUACUAUAUGUGUUAGUAUAAUGCUUUUAAAUACUCUAAUACAUGAUGUGUGUGCAUGGGCUGGUGUAUUUUUUAAAUUAUGAAUGAGAAAUGAAUUGCUUAGUUUUUAAAAUUAUGUGUUAUUGCAUGUGUAAAAUGUACGCACAUGGCUAUUUGCUCCAUUUAAUGUGCAUUCAAAUGAUAGAAAUAAUGAAUGAGACUUAUAACAAUUGACACUUAGAAUUUUGGGACUAAGGUGGGAUGUAGGUUGUAUGGACCAUGGGUUCUAGUAUUGGCCACAGAACGUGUGGGACAUUCCAUAGAUUCAGCCCAUAGAGCAUGUGGUGCAAGUUACAUUUCCUUCCCUUGAAGUCACCCCCUUUUGUUUAUUGACCUACUUGGAUGUCAAGAUACACAUUGUCCAUAGAAUGUGUGUGAUGACGUAUGUACAAGCUACAAAGUGUGUGAGACAUCUAAGAAGAUUAUGUGUAAUGUUCGGGUACUUGGAUGUCAAGAUAUGCAUUGACCAUAGAACGUGUGGGAUGAUGUAUGAACAAUCCACAGAGCUUGUAAGGCAUCUAAGAGAACUUGGCUUUUAAUUUCGAUUUGGGUGUCAAGAUGUACAGUGGCCGCAGAGCGUGUGGGAUGACAUAUGUACAAGCCAUAGAGCGUGUGGGGCACUUGUGGAAUAAAGUAAAUGAACUAAUUAAAUGGACAUGAUUGAGAAUAACUAGACCUUGUAAACUACCAUAAAUGCUUCAUACUUGAUUUUAAGAUAUUAUUGCAUGUGUUAUUGUUCUAUGCCAAUGUUUUCAAACUUGUGGAUAUUGUAUGCGGGUUUAUUUGCUGAGUUUUUCCCCAGAAACUUAUCCAAAUCAUUCCCCAUAUGGAGAGCACUUUGACAUGCUAGUUGGUGGUGAGAACCAAGAGAUUGAUGGGGACGUGUAAAACAUUUAUUAUUUCAGUUGAUCUUAGAUCAUUUUAUUUAUCUUAGAGAUUUAAAUUAUGGAUGUAAUAAUUUUUCAUAAAGGAUUUAAUUUGUUGUGGAUGAUAUUAUUAAAUUUUGACUAAUUGGAGAAUUUUAUGAAUUUUUAAAUAUUAA